UGACCCGCUUGGGCAUCCCAGCGGUUUGAAAGUUCUGGCGGUGCAGGAUGAGCCCGCGGCCUAUCAGCUUGUUGGUGAGGUAUUGGCUCACCAAGGCGACGACGGGUAGCCGGCCUGAGAGGGCGACCGGCCACACUGGGAGUGAGACACGGCCCAGACUCUUACGGGAGGCAGCAGUGGGGAAUAUUGCACAAUGGGCGAAAGCCUGAUGCAGCGACGCCGCGUGAGGGAUGACGGCCUUCGGGUUGUAAACCUCUUUCAGCAGGGAAGAAGCGAAAGUGACGGUACCUGCAGAAGAAGCGCCGGCUAACUACGUGCCAGCAGCCGCGGUAAUACGUAGGGCGCGAGCGUUGUCUGGAAUUAUUGGGCGUAAAGAGCUCGUAGGCGGCUUGUCACGUCGGUUGUGAAAGCCCGGGGCUUAACCCCGGGUCUGCAGUCGAUACGGGCAGGCUAGAGUUCGGUAGGGGAGAUCGGAAUUCCUGGUGUAGCGGUGAAAUGCGCAGAUAUCAGGAGGAACACCGGUGGCGAAGGCGGAUCUCUGGGCCGAUACUGACGCUGAGGAGCGAAAGCGUGGGGAGCGAACAGGAUUAGAUACCCUGGUAGUCCACGCCGUAAACGGUGGGCACUAGGUGUGGGCGACAUUCCACGUCGUCCGUGCCGCAGCUAACGCAUUAAGUGCCCCGCCUGGGGAGUACGGCCGCAAGGCUAAAACUCAAAGGAAUUGACGGGGGCCCGCACAAGCGGCGGAGCAUGUGGCUUAAUUUGACGCAACGCGAAGAACCUUACCAAGGCUUGACAUACACCGGAAACGUCCAGAGAUGGGCGCCCCCUUGUGGUCGGUGUACAGGUGGUGCAU
rnacentral:rRNA from 1 species